GGUCCCCACUAAGGCAGUGUCUCGAAAAGACUACGCCAAGGUGGGGGAAGGCUCAUCUCAGGGUGUGGCCACGCCUUCCACUUCUGGUGCCGGGCGUCGGUCCGCCAGAGCGCAGCACACAGCGGUGCCGCUCGGGGCUGAUGACCGGAGGACGA
rnacentral:sRNA from 12 species